GACCAACUCAACCAGGCAGUGGUGGACCAACUCAACCAGGCGGUAAUGGACCAACUCAACCAGGCAGCGGACAAACAAUCCCUGGAGGACAGCCUAGACCAGGCAAAAAACCAAAGCCAGGAAAGAAGAGAAUCGAAAAGGUAUUUAAUUCAAAAUCAGAAGCUAAUGCGGAAGCCGAUGCACAAUCAUCUACUGAAAUUGACUACACAACAACACAGACUGGCACUAUUGGAACAAGUACAUUAAAUUCAAGGAGCAAAGCAAGCAGUAACAGUAAAAGCAAAAGUUCAUCUUCGACAUCAACAGCAGUAAAAGAAACGGACUCAUAUGAGACAGAUUAUGAUGACAACAAUCCAGGCAGUGGUGGACCAACUCAACCAGGCAGUGGUGGACCAACUCAACCAGGCAGUGGAGGACCAA